rnacentral:rRNA from 1 species
GAGGAAAAGAAACCAACAGGGAUUGCUCUAGUAACGGCGAGUGAAGCAGCAAUAGCUCAAAUUUGAAAUCUGGCGUCUUCGACGUCCGAGUUGUAAUUUGUAGAGGAUGCUUCUGAGUAACCACCGACCUAAGUUCCUUGGAACAGGACGUCAUAGAGGGUGAGAAUCCCGUAUGCGGUCGGAAAGGUGCUCUAUACGUAGCUCCUUCGACGAGUCGAGUUGUUUGGGAAUGCAGCUCUAAAUGGGAGGUAAAUUUCUUCUAAAGCUAAAUAUUGGCCAGAGACCGAUAGCGCACAAGUAGAGUGAUCGAAAGAUGAAAAGCACUUUGGAAAGAGAGUUAAAAAGCACGUGAAAUUGUUAAAAGGGAAGGGAUUGCAACCAGACUUGCUCGCGGUGUUCCGCCGGUCUUCUGACCGGUCUACUCGCCGCGUUGCAGGCCAACAUCGUCUGGUGCCGCUGGAUAAGAUUUGAGGAAUGUAGCUCCCUCGGGAGUGUUAUAGCCUCUUGUGAUGCAGCGAGCGCCGGGCGAGGUCCGCGCUUCGGCUAGGAUGCUGGCGUAAUGGUCGUAAUCCGCCCGUCUUGAAACA